CCGCCGCGUGAGUGAUGAAGUUUUUCGGAUCGUAAGCUCUGUGUAAGGGAAGAACAAGUCCGUUCGAUAGGGCGUACCUUGACGGUACCUAACCAGAAAGCACGGCUAACUACGUGCCAGCAGCCGCGGUAAUACGUAGGUGGCAAGCGUUGUCCGGAAUUAUUGGGCGUAAAGGGCUCGCAGGCGGUUUCUUAAGUCUGAUGUGAAAGCCCCCGGCUCAACCGGGGAGGGUCAUUGGAAACUGGGGAACUUGAGUGCAGAAGAGGAGAGUGGAAUUCCACGUGUAGCGGUGAAAUGCGUAGAGAUGUGGAGGAACACCAGUGGCGAAGGCGACUCUCUGGUCUGUAACUGACGCUGAGGAGCGAAAGCGUGGGGAGCGAACAGGAUUAGAUACCCUGGUAGUCCACGCCGUAAACGAUGAGUGCUAAGUGUUAGGGGGUUUCCGCCCCUUAGUGCUGCAGCUAACGCAUUAAGCACUCCGCCUGGGGAGUACGGUCGCAAGACUGAAACUCAAAGGAAUUGACGGGGGCCCGCACAAGCGGUGGAGCAUGUGGUUUAAUUCGAAGCAACGCGAAGAACCUUACCAGGUCUUGACAUCCUCUGACAAUCCUAGAGAUAGGACGUCCCCUUCGGGGGCAGAGUGACAGGUGGUGCAUGGUUGUCGUCAGCUCGUGUCGUGAGAUGUUGGGUUAAGUCCCGCAACGAGCGCAACCCUUGAUCUUAGUUGCCAGCAUUCAGUUGGGCACUCUAAGGUGACUGCCGGUGACAAACCGGAGGAAGGUGGGGAUGACGUCAAAUCAUCAUGCCCCUUAUGACCUGGGCUACACACGUGCUACAAUGGACAGAACAAAGGGCAGCGAAACCGCGAGGUUAAGCCAAUCCCACAAAUCUGUUCUCAGUUCGGAUCGCAGUCUGCAACUCGCCGUGUAGUGAAGCGUAGGACUUGGGUGGUUAC
rnacentral:rRNA from 1 species